ACAGCAGAGCUAAAGAGAGUGACAGAUGUAGCAGAGCCAAAUGUGUUUGCCUGCCAAAACCUAUGCCAAAGCUUGCUGUGACCAAGAUAAAGUUUGGAAGUUUGUUCCUCUGAUGAAAGUCAAUUCAAGUAAAGCUGUUUCCAACGUUGAUACAAAGUCUGGACUCAAUUCAUUUCUUCAUCCCCUUCAACAACUAUCCCUUGCUCUGCAGCGGGCAACGGACCACCAUGCCUGGGGCUCCGAGAUAUCCAGAUGUUUUCGCCUGCUCCUUC